GACGAACGCUGGCGGCGUGCCUAAUACAUGCAAGUCGGGCGCUUCUUUCCUCCCGAGUGCUUGCACUCAAUUGGAAAGAGGAGUGGCGGACGGGUGAGUAACACGUGGGUAACCUACCCGUCAGAGGGGGAUAACACUUGGAAACAGGUGCUAAUACCGCAUAACAGUUUAUGCCGCAUGGCAUAAGAGUGAAAGGCGCUUUCGGGUGUCGCUGAUGGAUGGACCCGCGGUGCAUUAGCUAGUUGGUGAGGUAACGGCUCACCAAGGCCACGAUGCAUAGCCGACCUGAGAGGGUGAUCGGCCACACUGGGACUGAGACACGGCCCAGACUCCUACGGGAGGCAGCAGUAGGGAAUCUUCGGCAAUGGACGAAAGUCUGACCGAGCAACGCCGCGUGAGUGAAGAAGGUUUUCGGAUCGUAAAACUCUGUUGUUAGAGAAGAACAAGGACGUUAGUAACUGAACGUCCCCUGACGGUAUCUAACCAGAAAGCCACGGCUAACUACGUG
rnacentral:rRNA from 1 species